rnacentral:rRNA from 1 species
AGAGUUUGAUCCUGGCUCAGAAUCAACGCUGGCGGCGNNNUUAACACAUGCAAGUCGAACGAGAAAGGGGAGCAAUCCCUGAGUAAAGUGGCGCACGGGUGAGUAACACGUGGGUAAUCUGCCUCUGGGUGGGGAAUAACUCUGGGAAACCGGAGCUAAUACCGCAUAAGCCUGAAAGGGGAAAGGCGAAAGUCGCCGAGAGAGGAGCCCGCGGUCGAUUAGCUAGUUGGUGGGGUAAAGGCCUACCAAGGCAAUGAUCGAUAGCCGGCCUGAGAGGGCACACGGCCACACUGGCACUGAAACACGGGCCAGACUCCUACGGGAGGCAGCAGUGGGGAAUCUUGCACAAUGGGGGAAACCCUGAUGCAGCGACGCCGCGUGAGCGAUGAAGCCCUUCGGGGUGUAAAGCUCUUUCGGCCCGGACGAUAAUGACGGUACGGGAAGAAGAAGCUGCGGCUAACUACGUGCCAGCAGCCGCGGUAAUACGUAGGCAGCGAGCGUUGUUCGGAGUUACUGGGCGUAAAGAGUGCGUAGGCGGUGGCCCAAGUCUGGUGUGAAAUCUCCCGGCUUAACCGGGAGGGUGCGCCGGAAACUGGGUUGCUGGAGUACUGGAGAGGCAGGCGGAAUUCCUGGUGUAGCGGUGAAAUGCGUAGAUAUCAGGAGGAACGCCCGUGGUGUAGACGGCCUGCUGGACAGUAACUGACGCUGAGGCACGAAAGCGUGGGUAGCAAACAGGAUUAGAUACCCUAGUAGUCC